rnacentral:ncRNA from 25 species
GUAACUCUGUAAAGUCGAAGUCUUACCAUUAUUGGCAAGAUACUUAGUAGGCGAUAUGGAGUUAU